UGAGCUUGAUCCCUGGCUCAGGACGAACGCUGGCGGCGUGCUUAACACAUGCAAGUCGAACGAUGAAGCCCUUCGGGGUGGAUUAGUGGCGAACGGGUGAGUAACACGUGGGCAAUCUGCCCUUCACUCUGGGACAAGCCCUGGAAACGGGGUCUAAUACCGGAUAUUACUCCUGCCUGCAUGGGCGGGGGUUGAAAGCUCCGGCGGUGAAGGAUGAGCCCGCGGCCUAUCAGCUUGUUGGUGGGGUAAUGGCCCACCAAGGCGACGACGGGUAGCCGGCCUGAGAGGGCGACCGGCCACACUGGGACUGAGACACGGCCCAGACUCCUACGGGAGGCAGCAGUGGGGAAUAUUGCACAAUGGGCGAAAGCCUGAUGCAGCGACGCCGCGUGAGGGAUGACGGCCUUCGGGUUGUAAACCUCUUUCAGCAGGGAAGAAGCGAAAGUGACGGUACCUGCAGAAGAAGCGCCGGC
rnacentral:rRNA from 1 species